GGGGAAUCUUAGACAAUGGGGGCAACCCUGAUCUAGCCAUGCCGCGUGAGUGAUGAAGGCCUUAGGGUUGUAAAGCUCUUUCAGCUGGGAAGAUAAUGACGGUACCAGCAGAAGAAGUCCCGGCUAACUCCGUGCCAGCAGCCGCGGUAAUACGGAGGGGACUAGCGUUGUUCGGAAUUACUGGGCGUAAAGCGCACGUAGGCGGACCAGCAAGUUAGGGGUGAAAUCCCGGGGCUCAACCCCGGAACUGCCCCUAAAACUGCAGGUCUGGAGUUCGAGAGAGGUGAGUGGAAUUCCGAGUGUAGAGGUGAAAUUCGUAGAUAUUCGGAGGAACACCAGUGGCGAAGGCGGCUCACUGGCUCGAUACUGACGCUGAGGUGCGAAAGCGUGGGGAGCAAAC
rnacentral:rRNA from 1 species